UAAAUUGCUGUGGUAUUUUGACUAUACAAAGGUAUUGAAAUAAGGUUUUAAUUGAAUGCUAAAAGAAUGGAAUAUCAAAGAAUAACUUUCUUAAAAUUAAAAAUUGAAAUUUUUUUAAUUUGUGUAAAAACAAUUAUAUAAAUUAAAGACAAGAAGACCCUAAGAAUUUUUAAAAUUUAAAUUAACACAUUUUUGUUUUAAUUAAAUUUUAACUGGGGCGGUUAAAAAAUAUUAAAAACUUUUUAAUUUUGAAAAUGACCCAUUAUUAAUGAAAAUAUGAUAAAAUACUCUAGGGAUAACAGCGUUAUAUUUUUUGAUAGAUCAUAUUGACAAAAAAGUUUGCGACCUCGAUGUUGGAUUAGGAUACUUUUUUAAUGAAGAUAUUAAAAUAAGAAGUUUGUUCAACUUUUAAAUUCCUACUUGA
rnacentral:rRNA from 1 species